CUGUUCCCAAGAGAUAAAACUUUAUUUUGCUAUCUGUUUUGAGUGCUUUUCUUUCAUCCGCUCCUUCAAUUUGGAUUCCUUGACCAGUUUUCUUCCGAGGCAAAGGCAUAACGAUUCAUUUCUUCUCCCAUCAGAUAAGUUGUUUCUUCUCUAUCAAGAGCAUUCUUUACUAGUCUAUGUGCAUGCGAGUUCUCUGAUUUACAAAUGUGCUGAAAAAUAAGUUCUUGAAAACAAGAUUUCUUAUUCUGAAUGUCUCUGAUUAAAGCUCCAAUCACUGAUUUGUCUGUUGAGGUCGUCUAAUAUUUUUUUAUUAUUGUUUUAGAGUCCCCCAUGAGUUUAACUGAUUGAGUUCUUGGUGAAAUCCCUAACUUUGUACCCUCUAAACAUGCGUAUGCUUCUGCUGCGAAAGGUCAGGGGACAUUGCUAUGAAUAAUCGUCUUUAACACUAGUAAAUUUCCCCUCAGGUCCCAUCCCACCAGGCCUGUCACUGAUUUGAAGGUUCUUCUGUCGAACACUGCAUCAAAAUGGAUCGUUGUUCUCGGUAUGUCCUCCUGUAUUCUCUAACUUCUGUUCAUUUUUCCAUUUUUCUUCAAAACUUUUAUUCCUUCAUAUUCUACCAUAUGCCUCUGAACGUUUUGUGCUAAAACCCUUCUUGUUGUAUUUUUCCCCUCAUGUAUGAGUUGAUUUUUGGAGAACCAUAUCAGCCAUAAAGCAUAACAGAAGAGUCGACAUUGGUCGUUGUUGUUUCUAUUAAAAACCAAGGGCAUUCUCGGAAGACAUGAAGGCUUUCUUCUGCCCAGAAGCAGCAACGAGGGCAUCUAUCAUUUGAAGUGACUUUCCUGUACCUGAGAUUAGCAAGAUUAGGGAUAUAAUCCCAGAAAAUCUGCCAAAUAGUAAUUGCAAUUUUUUAGGGCAGCUGUAGGCUUCAUAAUUUCUUGUAAUAUUCUUUUAUUUUGGUCUGUAAUAAGUAACUAAUAGGAUUCAAAUUAGCAUCUUGUAAUAGUUUAUAGGCACUGCGUACUGAAAACUCGCCAGAUAAUUCUUCUUUCCAAACUUGAGUAUCCUCGUGCUCAGUCUCUGCAAAAGGGAUCUGUAAAAGUUUUUGAGCAGUUUUCUCUUCGAAGCUGUCUUCCCAGAUAGAAAUGUUGUCUCCUCUGCCCACUCUCCAACACAUUCCUUUUUGAAGAAGUCUCUUUGCUGCCCAGAUACUCUUCCA